AAACAGAAGCUGUACAGAAGCCUCAUGCAUGUACAGGAUCAAAAAAACGAUGGUCGAAAGAGGAGGAGAGUGCUCUACGGGAAGCCUUUGACAUUCAGAUAAAAAUGCAGAAAAACGUUUCAACAAUGGAGAUCAGGAAAGCACAGAAGUGUUAUCCUGUGUUGCAAGACAGAUCAGAAGCUGUUAUUCGGACAAAAAUAAACAACAUCAAAUUAGGAAAAUACAAAAAAAUAUGAACUGAAUUCAACCACUGCUAGAUAAGGGUAAUUUAAAAAAAAAUAAAGCCAUUGGUUUACAGUUGUAUGAUCAUGAACAUUUCUUGUGUCAGAAUGCCGAAAUUGAUGAGUGAAUUGGACUUUGCAAAGACAUGUGUUUUUGAAAUUAUAAAUGACUUUCACUGUUUAGUUUUCGCAGUGACCUUUGGAGGAAAUUGCUUUUCCAAUCAAUAACUGGAGAACCGUUGGGCCAAGCUUUGUGAAACUUAAUAGGAAGGUUUGUUUUUUUGUUGACCUCUAUUGUUUUUAGGUGACUAGGUCAAAGGUCAAAGUGACCUUGUAUGUUCAAACACUGUGAAAGAGUUGGGCCUAAGUUAAAGAAACAUAGUGUAGUUGGCUGUGACCAGUAGAUGGCACCUAUGAAUUAUUCAAAUAAUAUAUUUUGGUCAAAACCAACACAAGACAAAAAUGGAGUGUAGACGAAGUUGCUGAAAUAAAGGAGUAUUUUAAGACUUAUUUGGAUUCUGGCAUAACACCUAGAAACAAAGAAGUACAGUUGGCCAUGGCAAAAAGCAGGAAGAACAACGGCAUUCUUUGGAUGAGAAAAGCACAUCUCAUUAUUAAGAAGAUCAGCAACUUGAACAAAGACAAACGAAAAAUGUCUGUUAUCCAUUGUUUCCAUUCAUAGGGUAUCAACAUUUACUGUGUUUUUAUGCCCAUCCGUGUCAGUGAAACAUUUUUAGUUUCAAAUUUGAAAUACAAGCCACUUGAAGCAUAGAAGGCUUAAGAAAAACAGCCAUAUGGACUAGCUUAUAUCCAGAUUUGUUACACAUUUUUUUUUAUGCUUUUAAUUUCUAUAACAUUUUAGUGUGCACUUAAUUUUACUGUUUAUGUAUUGUCAUUUGAUAUUGAGACAUAUUGGAAAUUAUAAACUUAUUGUGAAAGGUAGACCUAUCAGAAAUUACACUAUUUAUGAUAACAUACAAAACACGCAAUAAUGCUUAAAAACAAUAAUCCUUUAACGAAUUUUUUCAUACCAAAAAAUUCAAGAUAAUUUAAACUUUAUAUAUAGAGAAAAAUGGGUUAGUGUUGUUGACAACAACCGAAUAAGUUAAGUUUUUGAUGUUAUUUACCAAAUUUUUCAAUUGCUUAAAUAUAAUUUAUUGUAUAAUAUUCAUUUAAAGUGACAAAUCGUUUGAUUCUUUCUUAUAGCUGAACCUAUGGUUCUGCAGUCAAGCACUGUUCCACUUAGCCAUAGAGGAUUGAUUGAAAUAGAUUAAGAGUUAACACAUUUAUAUUACUGAUAAAAAAAAUGCUCAAUAUGUAAACAAACAUGAUAUAAAAGCAGGCAGCUUUUUUUCUUUAAAAAAUAUAAUUUAUUGUAUAAUAUUCAUUUAAAGUGACAAAUCGUUUGAUUCUUUCUUAUAGCUGAACCUAUGGUUCUGCAGUCAAGCACUGUUCCACUUAACCAGGGAGGAUUGAUUGAAAUAGAUUAAGAGUUGACACAUUUAUAUUACUGAUAAAAAAAUGCUCAAAAUGUAAACAAAAAUGAUAUAAAAGAAGACAGUUUUUUUUUAUUCAUUUUUUUUUUUUUUUUUUUUCAAAUUAUUUGAAUUUAUACUGGGGGACAUGUUUUGCCCUGUCUGUUGGUUUGUUUGUUUGUUGGCUUGUUUGCCAUAACUUUUGCAAUAUUGAAGAUAUCAACUUGAUAUUUGGCAUGCAUGUGUAUCUCAUGGAGCUGCACAUUUUGAGUGAUGAAAGGUCAAAGGUCAAAUAUACGGUUAAAAGCGCUCAUUAAAUAUACACUAUAACUUCGUUAGAACUUCUUUCACAUACUUAAUAUCUCAUAUGUAAUGUAUCUCAUACAGCUGAACGUUUGAAAUAGUGAAUUGGUAACUUCAAUGUCACCCAUCUAGGUCAAAGGUCAAGUUCUUCUACAAACUCAAAUACUUCAAAUUUAAUUACAGAACUUUCUGUGUCAUUAAUACUAUAAUAGGCAUGAUUUGUGUAUCUGAACUCCAUCACUAGUGUAUCUUUUAUCCCUAUUAUCAAGGCGUCUUUUAUAACAUUAUACCAUAAUAUCCACAGCCUGUUGGCAUUUAUUGUUUAUAAUGUAUGUGACUUUAAAAUUAACAAAUUUCUAAAUGUGAGCAAUUUUUAUGUCCAUAACUGGUGUAACUUUGAUGUCCAUAACCUAAGUGACAUAUUCUAAGUAACGGUAAUGUCCGUAAGUUGUGUGACUUAAUUGUUCAUAACCUAAGUGACUGUCAUGUCCAUAAAUUGUGUGACUUUAAUGUUAAUAAUCUAUUCUAAGUAACAGUAAUGUCCAUAAGUUGUCUGACUGUAAUGUCCGUAAGUUGUGUGACUUAAUUGUUCAUAACCUAAGUGACUGUCAUGUCCAUAAAUUGUUGUGUGAUUUUAAUGUUAAUAAUCUAUUCUAAGUAACAGUAAUGUCCGUAAGUUGUGUGACUGUAAUGUCCAUAAGUUGUGUGACUUAUUUGUUCAUAACCUAAGUGACUGUCAUGUCCAUAAAUUGUGUGACUGUAAUUUUAUUAAACUAAGUAACUGGCAUGUCCAUAACUUGUGUGACUUUAACAUCCAUAACCUAAGUGACUGUAAUGUCAUAAAUUGUGUGACUUUAAUGUUAAUAAUCUAUUCUAAGUAACGGUAAUGUCCAUAAGUUGUGUGACUGUAAUGUCCAUAAGUUGUGUGACUGUAAUGUCCGUAAGUUGUGUGACUUAAUUGUUCAUAACCUAAGUGACUGUCAUGUCCAUAAAUUGUGUGACUUUAAUGUUAAUAAUCUAUUCUAAGUAACGGUAAUGUCCGUAAGUUGUGUGACUUAAAUGUUAAUUAUUUAAGUGACUGUCAUGUCCAUAAGUUGUGUGACUAUUAAUGUAUGUAAGUUGUUUGACUGUAAUGUCUGGGGCAACAACUGCAUUUAGUUGUUGAGUUACUAGUUAAUUAAUUAUUAAGUACCCCAGGGCAUGUAUGGAUUUGUGUUUUAAAACUUGGUAUUGUAUUUUGAAACAAUGUUUAUUGGAAAUAGAGGGAUUUUUAUUUAUUUUGUCGCACUGCUUUACUUACAAAAAUGCCCAAUUUUUUAUGUGAAACAGCCUUUGAAAGAAAAAUAUAGCAAAAAUUAUUUAAUUUUAUUUCUGAUAAUGUAGUCAGUCCGUAGAUGUCCCUUGACCAAAUAAAUGGUCCGCUAUCUACUUUUGUAGCCUGUUGAACAGGUAUCUGACUUAAGUUCUUUGUCCUUUUCUAUUAAACCUGUAUAUCCAUUUUUUACUACUUUGAGCACGAAUAAGAUGAAUGUUUGUCCCCAGUUUAUAGGUCAAGGUCACAGUGGACACUUUAAAUUUGUGUAUAUUCCUUAAAUGGAUGUAGUAAAAUUAUAUGUUCCUGCACGGCUUUAUUUUGUUAUAUUUUGUUUUAUUUUUGAUAUUGUAGUCGGUCAGUAGAUGUCCCUUGACCAAAUAAAUGGUCCGCUAUCUACUGUUGUAGCCUGUUUGACAGGUAUCUGACUAAGUUUUGUAUAUACCUCAGGUUAUUUUAUUUUUGAUAUUGUAGUCGGUCAGUAGAUGUCCCUUGACCAAAUAAAUGGUCUGCUAUCUACUGUUGUAGCCUGUUUGACAGGUAUCUGACUAAGUUUUGUUAACGCCCGUUUGAAAAAACGGACAUAUUAUGUGAUCACCCAUGGGUGGGCGGCUUCCAGAUCUCUGAGUAUAACUCUUAAAGUAUAAGAGCUUUUCACAUGAAAAUUCAUAUAUGGAUUGAUUUCAUUGAGAAGAAGUGCAGUGCACGAGAACCAUAACUCUAGCUUGCUUUAUUUCAGAAUUAUACCACAUUUUAAAUUUUCUUUUCUGAGUCAUAACUUCAUAACUAUAAGGCCAAUUAACAUCAAACUUGGAAUAAACGUAGGUUGUGGUGUAUAGAAGUGCAGCCCACAAGAAUCAUAACUUUAGAUUGCAUAAUUUUAGAAAUAUCCCCAUUAAUAAUUUUGUUGGUAUGCCUUUUUUCUUGGUUGCCUGUUUUUUAUGUCCCCAGUCUAUGCUGGGGGACAUAUUGUUUUUGCCCUGUCUGUUGGUUUGUUUGCACAAACUUUAACAUUGGCCAUAACUUUUGCAAUAUUGAAGAUAGCAACUUGAUAUUUGGCAUGUAUGUGUAUCUCAUAGAGAAUAUUUCAUUGAGUGUGACCUUCUUGGUGACCUUCAAAAAAAAGACAAGCAUUGGGGCAUUACGACUCUUGUUUCAUAAAAAAAAAAAAUUUGUUCAAGGUAACUACAAUUAGUCCUCUACAACUUUCACAUUUUAUUUAGUUCAACAGUUCUAUCACAUUUUACAAGUUUUACAUAUUUUUGAGAAAAAAAGUAAAGCUGUGCUACUGUGGACAUUCAUUGUUUUACUCUUUUUUAUUAUUAAUUAAUGAUCUUUAAGAUUGGUAUCUUCAUUCCAUUUUGGACAUGGUCUGGUCAGUAUUAGUAUUAUACAUAUGAAUGUUAGAAGGUUCAUAUAUCUAUGUUUGCAAUUACAAGAUAAAAAUGCAGAUAAUAUUGCAGCCAAAUUGUGUUACAAUGUAUUACUAUCUGAUGUGUUGUGUGUCAUUGAAUAGCAUAAUCCAUGAGACAUCUUGCACCCAAGCUGAUCCAGGCAAAUGCUGGUCAUGCCCAAAGAAUUUUAUCUGCCAUUGAUUCUUAGAAGGUUUGUGCCCAGCACAUCAUCAGGCACAUUGAAUUUUUACCGUAAUGUAACAAUAAUACAUUGUUCUGGUUCUUACAUAGUUUCAAAUCGUGUAUUACUGUAUACAAAGUUCCCAUUUUAUGUCAUGGGCACAUGCAAGAUGCACAGAGAUGGCAAUAUUGAUAGUCCAGCAAUAUCAGUAGAUUUCUAUAUGAAAUGUAUAUAAACAGAAAUUUCAUUUUCUUUUAAUUUCAUCAUUUCUGGUCAUAUACCUAUCGUUCAUAUUUCAUUGGAAAGCUCUUGAAAUUCUUAAGAUGUCAUAAUUAAAAACUAAAAAUGAGGUUAAACAAACAGACCAUUUAUUGUUCAAUGUUCUUUUCAGUCAAAUUAUGGGAAAAAAAUCAUAUAGUGUAACUUUUAUGCUUAUAAUUUUCUGUAGACAAUAUUAUAUUGUAAAAUAUAUUUAUAUCUAAAAUGCAAAAUGAAUAACAGUUAAAAUGAUACCAUUUUGAGCUCACCUGAGCACGAAGCUUUUAGGAUCACCUUACGUCCGUUGUCCGUGGUGUGUCAACCUGCUUCAAAUGACAUCGCCUAAACUAUGCCAAUUUUGAUAAAACUUUACAAGAAUGAUCAUUGGGUGACCCUAUACUAAAAUUGCUUUAUUUGUUCUGCUUUUGUUGCACAAGAUGACUAUCAUUACUAAAAAUAAAAAAAAUCUUUAAGUGGCAUAUUCUUUUAAACCACUACGCCAAAUUUGCCAAAUAAGUUUACAGAAGUGAUCCUUGGGUUAUCCUUGACAAAAUUGAUUAAAUCAUUUCUUUAUGAUGCAAGAGAUGGCAGUUGUCGCUAGAACAUUAUUGGAUAUUUUGACAUGAACUAGUACACUAAUUGUUCAGGUGAGUGUCUAAGGGCCAUCGGGCCAUCUUGUUAAUAUACCCUCUCAGAGCUGUUAACAAUAUUUUUUAUAUUUAGUUAAAAAAUAACAGAAGCUAUUAACAUUUUCCCCCACUGUAAUUGUAAACUAUCAAAAUGGCUGCCAGAUUAUUGUAAAUAAGAACAAUAUAACUCUUAUCAGAUAGAAAAAUUGGUGCUUUGAAAACUAUAUUGAUAUUUUAUCUGUUUCUAUGUAUAGACGGCUUUGUAAAUUUCAUACAAUGAGUAGUUGGUUUCCUAUUGAACUAUUACGCCAUUUUGGCAUAGAACGUAACCAAAGAAUAUGUACUUUGUGAAGUUGUUUAGGUGAUGAGUUUCAGUACUGUUUCAGUCACUUUAAAUCUACACGUAAAAAAAUAUUUAUAAAUAUUUUAGAAUUCAUCCUCUUAUAAAAUGGAAAAGUUAAUGAAUACGUAAUAUACAUCUGUACUUUUUCAAGUUAGUAUUAUUUUGUAAAAUUGUUAUGAAUAAUUUUAUUCAUUAUAAAUCAUGUCAUGGAUUUUUAAUUACAUGUAAAUCUUAGUAUUGUGCUAUAGUCAUAAUUCUUUUAACUACAUUGUGAAAGUGUGACCUAGUGCUACUUUGACAUAAUAUAAUUGUUGUAAUAUCCUAAAAUCUGUUGUAAGUUUUGUUGCUUGUUAAUACAGUUCUACCGGUACUUGUUCUUGAGUUCAUAUUACUUUAGAAAUUAAUUAUGUUAGAUGUAUGUGUUUACAUCACACACAAUUGUGAUUCUACUGUAUAAUUAUAUAAGUAAAUAUGUCCAAUCUAGAAUCUGUUUUAUACUGAGCUUUCAUAUUUGGUAUGUAGCAUUAUCUAGAGGUCCGCUACCAAAGUUGUUCAAAUUGUUCCUCUGGGGUCAAAAUUGACUCCGCCCUGGGGGUCACAAUUUUACAUUGAAUUAUAUAAGGAAAACUUUAAAUGACUUGAACUGCUAAUGGGAUUUUGACCAAACUCAACAGAAAUGGUCCCUGGGUAGUCCUCUACCAAAAUUGUUCAAAUGGUUCUGAUUGGUUGCAUAAGUACACAUUGUCAAAAAAAAAAGGUUUUUAAAAUGCAACUUUCAAAAAUCUUCUUGUCUGAAACUACAAGACCCAGAGCUUUCAUAUUUGGUAUAUAGCAUCCUCUAGAAGUCCUCUUCCAAAUUUGGUUUAAGUUAUGCCCCUAGGGUUAAAAUUGACCCCGCACCGGGGGUCACAAUUUUACAUUGAAUUAUAUAAGGAAAACUUUAAAUGACUUCUUAUCUUGAACCGUUAAUGGGAAUUUGAACAAACUCAACAUUAACGGUCCCCUUACCACAAUUGUUCAAAUGGUUCUGAUUGGUUGCAUAAGUAGGUCAAGGGGUAAAAAAAUAGGUUUUCUAAAUGCAAUUUUCAAAAAUCUUCUUGUCUGAAACUACAAGUCCUAGAGCUUUCAUAUUAAUUUCAUGUAUAACAUCAUCUAGAGGUCCUCUACCAGUAUUUGGUGGACAACAUUAGUGGUCCUCUGUAAAUGGCUCCAUUGUGACCUUUGACCUUUUCCUAAGGUGAGCGACCCAGGGCCCUUUGGGCCCUCUUGUUAUUUUUCAUUAAAGGGACUCUCUCAGACACGUGUAAUUUGGGAGUAAAUAAACGUUAAAAAUUUGAUAUUCAACUUCCUCGUCACUAUACCAAAGACCGCUUUCAUUUUCCUUACUUAUAAGUUACUAAAACCCCAUGUUUUUGUUGCUUGGUGUGAAGUGAGCCUUUGCGCCAGUCUGUUCAACGUUGGGAAAGCCGGUUUAUAAAUAAACUGAGGAAUUCUUUUUCGCGCUAAGCUAUCACGUGACGUCUAAAAAUAAACACUACACAGCAACAUAGUAGCAAAGGGAAAUAAUCGUGCGCUUAGUUUGGGUGGAAUUCUGAACAUUUGAUGUAGAAAAUGCGAGUAUUUUUUAUUUUCCUUACCAAAUUGACCAAGAUUCAAUAAAUAUUAAUGUCUUCUCUAUUUGUUUUUGUCAUCGCUCGACCCAUUUUCGUCUAACGCAAAUAAUGUAUGCGACCAUGCACAUGUUCAGUAAACGUUUCCGAAGACCCACGUGACGAUGGUAUCUAAAAACACCACCUCUUAUUCUAAGUUAAGAUCGUUGUUUACAAAAUAAACCCGUUUAAACGGUCUUACAUAUCUGCGAUUUAAAUGUUAAUUUUCUUCUCUGUACAAAUAUGAGCAAGUUUGGAAAGCUGUCAAUAAUCUAGUUCUGUGUUACUUUAGAAAUGUAUGUUGUCGUGUUUAUGGUAGAAGACAAUUUAUUUACAAAAAGUUAAAAUCUCGAUCUCUGAGAGAGUCUCUUUAACGAAAAACCGGAGAACAGUAGUAAAAAUUAUUUAAAAUUUUGAGAAAAAGGCAUUCAUCGUUACCCCAAACCUUUAUUAUUAUCAGCCAUGUUUUUUUCAUAUCAGGGAUGGUCUAAAACCCGUGGUGUCUGGAACUGUAUAUGUUCUGAUUUUUUUACAAAUAAUGUUUUUUUGGGGGGGGCAGGUGGUUUUGGACAGGGGCGGGCGUGGAUGAGAAUCUAAAAUAUUUUUUUCUAUUGCCUAACUGUAAAAUAACAUAUCUUGAAAAAUAAAAUCCUGCAAAUACUUUCUACCUGUUGUUCUGUUACAUGUGUGUUGAACAUUUCUGUGACUUGUUAAAAUCCUAUGGACAAAUUUCUAGUCUAAAUUAGCUUCUCAAUUUAAAUAACUUGUUCCUUCAAAAUAGUGCAUGGUUUGAUAUUGUACUAUUUAAAAUUUGAAUUAAUAUUAUCUCUAGUCCUGGCAAGUCUAUGUUCUUUAAGUAAAUUGAAAUUUAAAGGUUUAUUCAUUUAAAAAUUUUGCAAUGAUUUCUGUUAGUUCACAUCUUGUUAAAAUGUUUUAUACAUGCAUAGUUUAUGCCUUGGUUAAAUAAAAUCUGAAAUCUGUUGUGGGAAGUAUCAUACUAUGUAUUCGUGUUUCUGUUUGUAAAACGUUUAAUAAAACUAUUUAACAUAUA